rnacentral:rRNA from 1 species
UUAAAUUGAAGAGUUUGAUCAUGGCUCAGAUUGAACGCUGGCGGCAGGCCUAACACAUGCAAGUCGAACGGUAACAGGAAACAGCUUGCUGUUUCGCUGACGAGUGGCGGACGGGUGAGUAAUGUCUGGGAAACUGCCUGAUGGAGGGGGAUAACUACUGGAAAC